rnacentral:rRNA from 1 species
GUACGUGGUAGACCCGAAACCAGGUGAUCUACCCAUGUCCAGGGUGAAGUUCAGGUAACACUGAAUGGAGGCCCGAACCCACGCACGUUGAAAAGUGCGGGGAUGAGGUGUGGGUAGCGGAGAAAUUCCAAUCGAACCUGGAGAUAGCUGGUUCUCCCGAAAUAGCUUUAGGGCUAGCCUUAAGUGUAAGAGUCUUGGAGGUAGAGCACUGAUUGGACUAGGGGUCCUCAUCGGAUUACCGAAUUCAGUCAAACUCCGAAUGCCAAUGACUUAUCCUUAGGAGUCAGACUGCGAGUGAUAAGAUCCGUAGUCAAAGGGAAACAGCCCAGACCGCCAGCUAAGGUCCCAAAGUGUGUAUUAAGUGGAAAAGGAUGUGGAGUUGCUUAGACAACUAGGAUGUUGGCUUAGAAGCAGCCACCAUUUAAAGAGUGCGUAAUAGCUCACUAGUCGAGUGACUCUGCGCCGAAAAUGUACCGGGGCUAAAUACACCACCGAAGCUGCGGAUUGAUACCGAAUGGUAUCAGUGGUAGGGGAGCGUUCUAAGGACAGUGAAGUCAGACCGGAAGGACUGGUGGAGUGCUUAGAAGUGAGAAUGCCGGUAUGAGUAGCGAAAGACGGGUGAGAAUCCCGUCCACCGAAUGCCUAAGGUUUCCUGAGGAAGGCUCGUCCGCUCAGGGUUAGUCAGGACCUAAGCCGAGGCCGACAGGCGUAGGCGAUGGACAACAGGUUGAUAUUCCUGUACCACCUCUUUAUCGUUUGAGCAAUGGAGGGACGCAGAAGGAUAGAAGAAGCGUGCGAUUGGUUGUGCACGUCCAAGCAGUUAGGCUGAUAAGUAGGCAAAUCCGCUUAUUGUAAAGGCUGAGCUGUGAUGGGGAAGCUCCUUAUGGAGCGAAGUCUUUGAUUCCCCGCUGCCAAGAAAAGCUUCUAGCGAGAUAAAAGGUGCCUGUACCGCAAACCGACACAGGUAGGCGAGGAGAGAAUCCUAAGGUGUGCGAGAGAACUCUGGUUAAGGAACUCGGCAAAAUGACCCCGUAACUUCGGGAGAAGGGGUGCUUUCUUAACGGAAAGCCGCAGUGAAUAGGCCCAAGCGACUGUUUAGCAAAAACACAGCUCUCUGCGAAGCCGUAAGGCGAAGUAUAGGGGUGACACCUGCCCGGUGCUGGAAGGUUAAGGAGAGGGGUUAGCGUAAGCGAAGCUCUGAACUGAAGCCCCAGUAAACGGCGGCCGUAACUAUAACGGUCCUAAGGUAGCGAAAUUCCUUGUCGGGUAAGUUCGACCCGCACGAAAGGUGUAACGAUUUGGGCACUGUCUCAACCAGAGACUCGGUGAAAUUAUAGUACCUGUGAAGAUGCAGGUUACCCGCGACAGGACGGAAAGACCCCGUGGAGCUUUACUGUAGCCUGAUAUUGAAUUUUGGUACAGUUUGUACAGGAUA